GAUGAACGCUGACAGAAUGCUUAACACAUGCAAGUCAACUUGAACUUCGGUUUGGGUGGCGGACGGGUGAGUAACGCGUAAAGAACUUGCCUCACAGAUAGGGACAACAUUUGGAAACGAAUGCUAAUACCUGAUAUUAUGAUUAUAUGGCAUCGUAUAAUUAUGAAAGCUAUAUGCGCUGUGAGAGAGCUUUGCGUCCCAUUAGCUAGUUGGAGAGGUAACGGCUCACCAAGGCGAUGAUGGGUAGCCGGCCUGAGAGGGUGAUCGGCCACAGGGGGACUGAGACACGGCCCUUACUCCUACGGGAGGCAGCAGUGGGGAAUAUUGGACAAUGGACCAAGAGUCUGAUCCAGCAAUUCUGUGUGCACGAUGAAGUUUUUCGGAAUGUAAAGUGCUUUCAGUUGGGAAGAAAAAAAUGACGGUACCAACAGAAGAAGUGACGGCUAAAUACGUG
rnacentral:rRNA from 1 species